UCAGAUGUGAAUCCCGGGCUAACCUGGAACUGCAUUGAACUGGCAGGCUGAGUCUCUAGAGGGGGUAGAUUCCAGGUGUAGCGGUAAAUGGUAGAAUCGGAGGAAUCCGGUGGCGAAGGCGGCCCCUGGCGAAGACUACGCUCAGGUGGAAAGCGUGGGAGCAAACAGGAUUAGAUACCCUGGUAGUCCACGCCGUAAACGAUGUCGACUUGGAGGCUGUUUCCUUGAGAAGUGGCUUCCGGAGCUAACGCGUUAAGUCGACCGCCUGGGGAGUACGGCCGCAAGGUUAAAACUCAAAUGAAUUGACGGGGGCCCGCACAAGCGGUGGAGCAUGUGGUUUAAUUCGAUGCAACGCGAAGAACCUUACCUGGUCUUGACAUCCACGGAAUUCGGCAGAGAUGCCUUAGUCCUUCGGGAACCGUGAGACAGGUGCUGCAUGGCUGUCGUCAGCUCGUGUUGUGAAAUGUUGGGUUAAGUCCCGCAACGAGCGCAACCCUUAUCCUUUGUUGCCAGCGCGUGAUGGCGGGAACUCAAAGGAGACUGCCGGUGAUAAACCGGAGGAAGGUGGGGAUGACGUCAAGUCAUCAUGGCCCUUACGACCAGGGCUACACACGUGCUACAAUGGCGCAUACAAAGAGAAGCGACCUCGCGAGAGCAAGCGGACCUCAUAAAGUGCGUCGUAGUCCGGAUUGGAGUCUGCAACUCGACUCCAUGAAGUCGGAAUCGCUAGUAAUCGUGGAUCAGAGUGCCACGGUGAAUACGUUCCCGGGCCUUGUACACUCCUCACGGACACCAUGGGAGUGGGUUGCAAAAGAAGUAGGUAGCAUAACCUUCGGGAGAGCGCU
rnacentral:rRNA from 1 species